AUGAACGCUGGCGGCGUGCCUAAUACAUGCAAGUCGAGCGAACGGACGAGAAGCUUGCUUCUCUGAUGUUAGCGGCGGACGGGUGAGUAACACGUGGAUAACCUACCUAUAAGACUGGGAUAACUUCGGGAAACCGGAGCUAAUACCGGAUAAUAUUUUGAACCGCAUGGUUCAAAAGUGAAAGACGGUCUUGCUGUCACUUAUAGAUGGAUCCGCGCUGCAUUAGCUAGUUGGUAAGGUAACGGCUUACCAAGGCAACGAUGCAUAGCCGACCUGAGAGGGUGAUCGGCCACACUGGAACUGAGACACGGUCCAGACUCCUACGGGAGGCAGCAGUAGGGAAUCUUCCGCAAUGGGCGAAAGCCUGACGGAGCAACGCCGCGUGAGUGAUGAAGGUCUUCGGAUCGUAAAACUCUGUUAUUAGGGAAGAACAUAUGUGUAAGUAACUGUGCACAUCUUGACGGUACCUAAUCAGAAAGCCACAGCUAACUACGUG
rnacentral:rRNA from 1 species